rnacentral:rRNA from 1 species
GGAGGACCCAAGCGUUACCCGGAAUUACUGGGCGUAAAGCGUUGCGUAGGCGGCCCACCAAGUUUUUGCUUAAAUCUCAAGGCUCAACUUUGAGACUGGCAGAAAAACUGGUGAGCUUGAGAGUGGUAGAGGCGAGUGGAAUUUCCGGUGUAGGAGUGAAAUCCGUAGAUACCGGAAGGAACACCAAUGGCGUAAGCAGCUCGCUGGGCCAUUUCUGACGCUGAGGCACGAAAGCGUGGGUAGCGAACCGGAUUAGAUACCCGGGUAGUCCACGCCGUAAACGAUGGAUGCUAGCUGCUGGGGGUAUCGACCCCCUCGGUAGCGAAGCUAACGCGUUAAGCAUCCCGCCUGGGGAGUACGAGCGCAAGCUUA